GUGCGCCGGAGACUCCCCCCGCCCCGCAGCCGGGAAACGUCCAGAACCCCGAAAUGUGGAGAAAACAACCUUCUUUUCACGGGGGCGUGGCCCGCCGGUUGCAGUACGCGAAAUUGGCAAAAUGAUGUAAACAGGGAUGGUCGUCACACCUGAACAAGGGGGUCCCUGGCCCCAGGCCCCAUGCUUUACUGGGCCCUGUUCUGUCCCUCUUCUGGCAUCAUCUCCCAUGGAGAAAAGAAUGUGUUGAAGCCAAGAAGAUGCUCCCCCCGCAAGAAUAUCAUCUCUGCUAGAACAGGGGCUGGAGUGUAACGGCAUGAUCUCGGCUCACUGCACCCUCGACUUCCUGGAUUCAGGUGAUCCCCUCACCUCAGCCUCCCUAGUAGCUGGUGUGUCCGGAAUUGGUGGGUUCUUGGUCUCACUGACUUCAAGAAUGAAGCCGUGGACCCUCGCGGUGAGUGUUACAGUUCUUAAAGGUGGCGUGUCCGGAGUUUGUUCCUUCUGAUGUUCAGAUGUGUUCGGAGUUUCUUCCUUCUGGUGGGUUUGUGGUCUCGCUGGCUCAGGAGUGAAGCUGCAGACCUUCGCGGUGAGUGUUACAGCUCUUAAGGCAGCGCGUCUCAAGUUGUUCAUUCCUCCCGGGGGGUUCGUGGUCUCAUUGGCUUCAGCAGUGAAGCUGCAGACCUUCGUGGUGAGUGUUACAGCUCAUAAAGGCAGUGUGGACCCAAAGAGUGAGCAGCAGCAAGAUUUAUUGCAAAGAAAGACAAAGCUUCCACAGUAUGGAAGGGGACCCAAGCAGCUUGCCACUGCUGGCUCAGGCAGCCUGCUUUUAUUCUUUUAUCUGGCCCCACCCACAUCCUGCUGAUUGGUAGAGCCGAGUGGUCUGUUUUGACAGGGCGCUGAUUGGUGUGUUUACAAUCCCUGAGCUAGACACAAAGGUUCUCCACCUCCCCACCAGAGUAGCUAGAUACAGAGUGUCGAUUCGUGCAUUCACAAACCCUGAGCUAGACACAGGGUGCCGAUUGGUGCAUUUACAAUCCCUUAGCUAGACAUAAAGGUUCUGCAGGUCCCCACUAAACUCAGGAGCCCAGCUGGCGUCACCCAGUGGAUCCCGCACCUGGGCUGCAGGUGGAGCUGCCUGCCACUCCCAUGCCGUGCACCCGCACUCCUCAGCCCUUGGGUCGUCGAUGGGACUGGGCGCCGUAGAGCAGGGGGCGGUGCUUGUCGGGGAGGCUCCGGCAGCACAGCAGCCCACAGAGAGGGGGAGGCUCAGGCAUGGCGGGCUGCAGGUCCCGAGCCAUGCCCCGCAGGGAGGCAGCUAAGGCCGGUGAGAAAUCGAGCCCAGUGCCGGUGGGCGGCACUGCUCUGAGUACAGGGCCUCCACAGCCGCUGGCCCUGGUGCUAAGCCCCUCAUUGCAUGGGGCCGGCAGGGCCUGCCGGCUGCUCCGAGUGCGGGCCCGCCAAGCCCACGCACACCUGGAGCUCCAGCUGGCCCGGAAGUGCCCGCACAGCCCCUGUUCCCGCUCAUGCCUCUCCCUCCACACCUCCUUGCAAGCUGAGGGAGCCAGCUCCGGCCUUGGCCAGCCCAGAAAGGGGCUCCCACAGUGCAGCGGUGGGCUGAAGGGCUCCUCAAGUGCUGCCAAAGUGGGAGCCCAGGCAGAGGAGGUGCCGAGAGCGAGUGAGGCCUCUGAGGACUGCCAGCAUGCUGUCACCUCUCACUGGGACUACAGGCUGUCAAGGGGAAAGGGAGGAUCCAUAGGCACAUCAGAGCAAUCCUUUCUGUGAAGAGUGUGGUUAGCUUGUGGGGAAGGGAUGAUUUUCCACCCCACCCCUCCAACUCAAGGCAAGUAACUCUGCUUCCAAAGAAGCCCACCUGGAAUGUGGGUGUUGCCUGCCAGUAAGGGAGAAACCCUGGAUGCCAGGGUCAAGCCUGAGGAAGUCCAGGAGAUGGCUAGCGGAAGGCAGGCCUGCGAGGGGGAGUUAUGGGAAGGAGAAGGACUUGUACAUUUUAUUUUUGCUCUCUGUUCUUUGUCUUCUUCUUCUUCUUUUGAGAUGAAGUUUCGCUCUUGUUGCCCAGGCUGGAGUGCAAUGGUGCAGUCUCAGCUCACUGCAACCUCCACCUCCUGGGUUCAAGCAAUUUUUCUACCUCAGCCUCCCAAGUAGCUGGGAUUACAGGCGCCUGCCACCAUGCCCAGGUAAUCAUUUUUGCUCUUUUUUCUAUUUAAUUGUUUUUCUUAAUUGUGAAUAUGUAUUACUUUUGUAAUUUUUUUUUUUUUUUUUGAGAUGGAGUCUCACUCUGUCACCCAGGCUGGAGUGCAGUGGCACAAUCUUGGCUCACUGCAACCUCUAUCUCCCAAGUUCAAGCGAUUCUCCUGCCUCAGCCUCCCAAGUUGCUGGGAUUACAGGUAUGUACCACCAUGCCCGGCUAAUUUUGUAUUUUUAGUAGAGAUGGGGUUUCUCCAUUGGUCAGGCUGGUCUCAAACUCCUGACCUCAGGUGAUCCACCCACCUCGGCCUCCCAAAGUGCUGGGAUUACAGGCAUGAGCCACCGCACCUGGUUGAGAUCGGAUGUUUUUAAAAAAGGGGAGUUUCCCUGCACAAGCUUCUCUCUCUUUGCUUGCUGCCAUUGCACGUAAGAUGUGACCUGCUCCUCCUUGCCUUCUGCCGUGAUUAUGAGGCCUCCCCAGCCAUGUGGAACUAACACUUCAGUUCUGGAAGAUCAAGAUGAAGAUAAGUCCCCAAAGAAAAAUACUCCUUGGCAGAUAAGUAAUGGAACAUCAUUUGUGAUCAUCUCCAGAAAGAGGCCAUCAGAAGGAAACUACCAAAAAGAAAAAGACUUGUAUAUUCAAUAUUUUAACCAGGGGUCUGAAUCAGAUCAGUUGGAAUUUGUGGAACAUCUUAUUUCACGAAUGUGUCAUUAUCACCAUGGACGUAUCAACUCUUACCUGAAGCCCAUGUUGCAGCAGGACUUUAUUACUGCUUUACCCGAGCAAGGCUUAGAUCACAUAGCAGAAAACAUUCUUUUGUACCUGGUUACCAGGUCUCUGUGUGCAGCAGAGCUGGUAUGUAAAGGAUGGCAGGGAUUGAUCUCAGAAUGAAUGCUUUGGAAGAAGCUGAUUGAACGAAUGGUACACACUGAUCCCCUAUGGAAAGGACUUUCAGAAAGAAGAGGGUGGGAUCAGUACCUGUUUCAAAACAGACCCAUAUCUAGCCCUCCAAAUUCAUUUUAUAGGUCAUUAUACCCAAACAUUAUCCAGGAUAUAGAGACUAUAGAAUCCACCUAGCGGUGUGGCCGACACAGCUUGCAGAGGAUUCAGUACCACUCUGAAAAUAGUAAAGGUGUCUAUGGUUUACAGUACGAUGAUGAAAAAAUUAUCAGUGGCCUACAAGAUAAUUAAGAUUUGGGAUAAAACCAGCCUGGAAUGUUUGAAAGUGUUAAUGGCCACACAGGUUCUGUCCUCUAUCUGCAGUAGGAUGAGCGUGUCAUUGUAACUGGCUCUUCGGAUUCUACGGUGAGAGUGUGGGAAGUGAACACGGGUGAAGUUCUUAACACAUUAAUCCACCACAAUGAGGAUGUACUGCACUUACGCUUCAGCAGUGGACUGAUGGUGACCUGUUCCAAGGACCGCUCCAUUGCUGUGUGGGACAUGGCUUCUGCGACCGAUAUCACUUUACGUGGUGUCCUGGUUGUCCACUGAGCUGCUGUCAACGUAGUAGACUUUGACGAGAAAUACAUCGUGUCUGCCUCUGGUGACAGGACCAUCAAAGUCUGGAGCAUGAGCACCUGUGAAUUUGCUCGUACUCUCAAUGGGCACAAGCGAGUCUUGUCUCCAGUACAGGGAUGGGCUGGUUGUUAGUGGAUCAUCAGAUCAUACCAUUAGGCUCUUGGAUAUUGAAUGUGGCUCCUGUUUAAGAGUCCUAGAGGGACAUGAAGAAUUGGUCCGAUGCAUCCAGUUUGAUAACAAGAGGAUGGUCAGCCGGGCCUAUGAUGGGAAAAUUAAAGUUUAGGACUUGCAAGCCGCUCUUGACCCUCGAGCCCCAGCAAGCACAUUGUGUUUGCGCACAUUGGUGGAACAUUCUGGACAUGUGUUUUGCCUACAGUUUGAUGAGUUUCAAAUCGUCAGCAGCUCCCAUGAUGACACUAUUUUGAUUUGUGGUUUCUUAAAUGUGCCUCCCAGUGCCCAGAAUGAGACCCAUUCCCCCUCCAGAACAUACACUUACAUCUCUAGAUAACAGUCUGCACUUUCACCCGUUUCCGGGUUUUCUAGUCUUGAACUACUGGCUACGUGGCUACCAAUGCCUAAGGGAGUUCGUUCACAGCUGAGUUAUGAAGCUGGAAUUGGUUCUAGACGCUGGGUAGAUGCAAAGCAGCCUAACUCUUCAAGUCCCGACAUUUCUCACCUCUGAUUCCAGCUCUACUUUGAGAAGGAGACCUUAGCUUCACUGACUUGAAAGUAGCACAGAAGCCCAUUUCCUUCCCUCAUUAGUGAAAAAAUCUAAUGUUUCAAAUGUAAACUGAUCAUAGAAAAGGAACAUAGAAUCUGUUUUACAGAAGUAAAUUGACGCCAAGAGAAGUCUUGGCCUCUAAUUUAUAUUGCUUUGCACUUUGGUUUGAUACUAAGAAACAGCAUUCUUCUUCAGUGAAAUUUUGGGUGCCAAACACCUACUCAGAAUGUCCACGGCUUUCAUUUUCAAAAGUUAACAUUCUCCUUUUGACCGUCCAAGUCAUUAUGAAUUUUGACUUGCUGUAUUAGGAACAUGUUGGACAAUGGAAAAAUCUCUCUGGGUCGUUUUAGUAAUAUGUUUUGGAUUAUACUUCCUUUCUAUACCAAUUUCUUUUAAUUUAAAGAACUGUAAGUCAGUUGGCCGAGCGCAGUGGCUCACCCCUGUAAUCCCAGCACUUUGGAAAGCCAAGGCGGGCGGAUCACGAGGUCAGGAGAUUGAGACCAUCCUGGCUAACACGGUGAAACCCCGUCUCUACUAAAAAUACAAAAAAUUAGCCGGGUGUGGUGGUGGGCGCCUCUAGUCCCAGCUACUUGGGAGGCUGAGGCAGGAGAAUGGCCAGAACCCUGGAGGCGGAGGUUGCAGUGAGUCAAGAUUGCACCACUGCACUCCAGCCUGGGCGACAGAGCGAGACUCCGUCUCAAAAAAAAAAAAAAAAAAAAAAGAACUAUAAGUCAGUUAUUAUCUCCCAACAUAGCUCUUUUAUUUUAUUUUUAAUUUUUUUAAAUUAUAUUUUAAGUUCUGGAAUACAUGUGCAGAACGUGCACUUUUGUUACAUAGGUAUACACGUGCCAUGGGGGUUAGCCCUUUUAUUAACUGUUCUCUGAACCGCAACCAUCUCCUGAUAUUUGGUAGAGUAACACCUUUAUAUGUGUGCUUGCCUCCUAAUUUAAAAUACUGUAUUCACAUGUAGAUAUAAUGUACAUAACAGUUUAACUUCAAAGUUGCUGGGGUCAGGGCCCCCUGCACUUGAGACACUAAUACAGAGUGUGUUCGCGCUUAGCCAUGGACUGGACUCAAGAACCUGAUACCAGGGUUGAUGUGGAUUACCUGGAACCCUUCCUGCAGUAUUCCUACAGUGUUUUUAUUUUGUUGUCAUUGUGUGUGUGGUUUGUGUGUGUUUUUAAGGAGAAUCUUGUUUUAAAAUGUAAUUUCUAAAGUUGAACAUGAAUGUUUUAUUUGUUGUACAGUAUAUAUUAUACAAUAGAGAGGUAACUUAAACAUUUUUGUUCUUAUUCUUUUUCUCAUAAGUACUCCUGAGUACUAGUGGUCACUUCCCGUAGUAUUCAUUUGGCUUCACUGUCAAAAAUCAUUAUUCUGUGCAGUUGUGGCCCUGGGAAGGGGAAAUAAUAAGGCCCUAUUGACGGGCUGUCCUGGCUCUGGAAUUCAUGCAUCCUGUCCUUGCCAAGGUUCUGGCAGGGCCCGCUGGUGUGUUGGAGCCUGCAGGUCAGGUCAGGCUGGUUCAGAGGUCCAUGCUGAGGGGAGGGCACUCCUAAGUGGUGUAAAGCCUCAAGUCCAUGAAUCCCACCCCAGUCAUCUCUGGUGUCACGUGCUGCUGCGGCCUCAGCAGGUUCUCAAAGCUCCCGAGUACUCCCGAGUACACAGCCCAAAUGUGUAAAUGGCACUGUCUCCCUGAUGGUGCAUGGAAAGGACGUUGGCAUCUGGCACUAUCACCCUGACAGUGCAUGGAAAGGACAUUGGCAUCCAGUUGGCACUCCUUCUCCCUUAUUCAAUAUUAGGUUUGAUUUGCCCUUUGCCGUUGUUUCCAAAGAUCAAGGAAUGUCAAUAACUUUUUUUUUUUUUUGAGACAGAGUCUCGCAUUGUAGCCCGGGCUGGAGUGCAGUGGCGCAAUCUCAGAUCGCUGCAACCUCCUCACCUCCAGGUUCAAGUGAUUCUCCUGCCUCAGCCUCCCAAGUAGCUGGGACUACAGGCACGUGCCACCACACCCAGCUAAUUUUUGCAUUUUUAAUAGAGACGGGGUUUCACUAUAUUGACCGAACUGGUCUCGAACUCCAGACCUUGUGAUCCGCCUGCCUCAGGCUCCCAAAGUGCUGGGAUUACUUUGGGAGCCACCGUGCCCGGCCAUCAAUAGCAUUUUAAAGGACCAAUAAACAGCCUCCUAUAAAUUAAACCUCUUCCUGUGGAAGCAUGCUCUACUACUAAAGGGAAGGUCCUUGGGCUCCGAUUUGUCCUUUGCAUUGAGAACGGUGUGGGGAUCAAUGUGUGUGUAUGUGAUUUAUCGAGUUGGCUUUGCUUUUUUAGUUUUUCUUAAAAAAAAUCCUUCCUUCCCAUGUUACUAAUUUAUGUUUUUGAGAAGUUGAGUCUCAAAGCGUAAACAAUAAACCUCCAUUCAUAAGGCAGAUGUUGUAAGCUUGAUGGUGGUUGUGAAAGUGAUUUAGUUUUGACCUCUUUUCGUCCUACAACUUCAAUAUCAAACUGCUCAGGAAAGCCCAGGGGGAAGGUAGGGGCAGAGGAGGAGACAAUUCGGAAUGAAUGAAUAGAUUUUUUGUUGUUUUUGCUUGUUUAAUAUAGAAGUCCCCCUUGUUCCUUGGGAGAUCAUGGCCUUUGAAUAUGUACACAACCUUUGAAUUGUUCCUACUAAAUUAUAGCAAGGGACUUUGGCACCCAAGGAAU
rnacentral:lncRNA from 1 species